UUAGAACACAGCCCCAGUGGAGAACACACGGCUGACUGGCUGUUGUUGCUCAACAGCGGGGGCUGCAAGCUGAGCCCAGGUGGAGACGUGGUGUUCUCCCUGAAGGUGUAGGUUGAAAGACAACACGCACCCAGAAAUACCACACAAUAUGGACAGCUGAGAAAAGACGGACUGAGACACAAAUGAAGCAGGCCGUGAGAAAGAAAAAUGACACUCAAAUAGAGCCAUUGAUUCCACAAGAGCAGCAAGCCAGAUCUCAGCACAAAUGCAGAAGAACUGCAGUCGACAGAGGAACUCUUUCAAAACACACUCAGAGUGUGGGAGUAAACUCAUCUUAUUGUGAAGAACACCUGCUGUGCCAUACAAUCACUUACUGUAAACCCAAUGCCCACAGUGGCGGAGAAAGAACCAGGAAUGAACUUCCCCUGAUCAAACUGAACCAGCAGAGAUGUCUUGCCAACCCCACUGUCGCCGACCAGGAUCGUCUGAGGAAAGACACAGUUAUCAGCUGGCAAUGAAAUUCCUGUUUAUCGGAAAUCCCAAGCUCACCAGGACAGCUGUGACAAAGACGGCUGUAGUGUGUGACGUCAGACCCGGAACAAUAACACAGGACAGACAGAGACAUGGAUGUUU